rnacentral:rRNA from 1 species
ACGAAGGGGGCUAGCGUUGUUCGGAUUUACUGGGCGUAAAGCGCGUGUAGGCGGGCCGUUAAGUUGGAGGUGAAAUCCCGAGGCUCAACCUCGGAACUGCCUUCAAAACUGGCGGCCUGGAGGAGAAGAGAGGCAAGUGGAAUUGCGAGUGUAGAGGUGAAAUUCGUAGAUAUUCGCAGGAACACCAGUGGCGAAGGCGACUUGCUGGCUUCUUUCUGACGCUGAGACGCGAAAGCGUGGGGAGCAAACAGGA